CUACGGAGGGUGCAAGCGUUACUCGGAAUCACUGGGCGUAAAGCGCGCGCAGGCGGCUAUUUAAGUUGGAUGUGAAAGCCUACGGCUCAACCGUAGAACUGCACCCAAAACUAUUUAGCUAGAGUGUGGGAGAGGAAGAUGGAAUUAGUUGUGUAGGGGUAAAAUCCGUAGAGAUAACUAGGAAUACCAAAAGCGAAGGCAAUCUUCUGGAACACCACUGACGCUGAGGCGCGAAAGCGUGGGGAGCAAACAGGAUUAGAAACCCUAGUAGUCC
rnacentral:rRNA from 1 species